AGUCUUGGCAGAGGAGACAAAAAGUAAAGAGACAAUGGCAGGACCGGUGUGACGGGGCACAGGGGUCUGGUUUAGGCAGAGAGGAGGGUCCCUUGGAGGCAGAGCAUGGGAAAUGCUGCUCAGUCUAGGUGAUACCCAGGCGAGGUCUUAGAGGUGCACAGAAUCCUGUGAGAAGGGCACCAUCCCAGCAGUGGAGGGUGGGACCAGGGAGAUUGGAUCUGCUCUCACCAGGAUGUGCAUGAGGCACAGAAGCAUUGAAGCCAAGCUGAGGCAGUUUUCGAGCGCUUUAAUUGAUUGUCUGAUAAACCCACUUCAAGAACAGAUGGAAG
rnacentral:sRNA from 1 species